CAGCUGAAGUGUAGCAGCUCCGUCCCAUUCAUCACUGCUUUCUGUUAAAAAGAAAAGAGCUGCUCCUCUCUGAUCUAAGUCCUCUCUCUAGUCAGAAAUAGCGUCAGUUAAUCUGGAUGGAUCGACAGGCUUUCCAAACCUACUGGUCUCUUCCUCGGACCUAACAUUGCUGCCUGGCCCAUCACCUUGAUAUUCAGCACACUCGGUAAGGUCUUACCAUCCCCCCUUCCAUAUCCAUAUUCUGGGAACCUCGGACGAUAGCUUUACCCCGAUGAAACGGAUCGAACGCCAGCUAAGGCCUUCUACCGCAGCGGACCCACAGGCCAAUGCCAAUCUC
rnacentral:lncRNA from 1 species